rnacentral:lncRNA from 1 species
AAACACUUUCAGUAGAAGAUUGAAAUACCUCUUUAAGUGCCACUUUUCCAAAGCAACUGCAGACAUAACAUUAUGCUACACAAAUAGUAAUGACUGAGUGGGAGUACAUAACCCUUCUGUGCUAUCCUCUUGCUCACUCCUAGAAAACUUUAGCAUGUAAAAAUAAAACAGUAAUUACUCUAAUGUGGUCUAAUUCAGGGUUCUAGCUUUGCAGUUUAAGAAAUUAAAAGUCAAAAAUUUUAUUAUCCCUCCCUCUUCCCAAAGAAAGGCUUGCAGGAAAUUGGCCCAGCAGGUGAGAUGAUUCUAAACACUUUGCCCUGUUGACACAAAACAGCUUUCACUUAUGUAUAAAAAUUGGAAAGUGAAACCGACCAGACUAGUUUUAUUACCCAAGCUUAGUUAACAUUAGAACAACACAUGGAAACAGAAAAUAAUGGAAAAAAGUGUAAUUUUUUUCUGUUGCGUUGAACUUUCUGAAAGAUUUCUAAAGUGUUAGGAAGAAGGAAGAAUGAUUCUCAUUCCCACUCCCUCAUUACCUAUAAACCUAAAUUUGAUCUCAUGAUUAAACGGUGAUUCAAUGGCUCAUGGAAACUGGCACCUCAGAAUAAACUCGAAAACACCAAGUGUUCCAAAUGACAUCAUCUUUCACCAAGAUGGCUGCUCUUAGCAAACAGUUCAAAUGCCAACUGCAACUAAAUCCCCGUUUCUCCCAGGUAUUUUUUAGCUUACUUCUAGAGAACUUCUGGACUCGGUCACUGUUUGCGUAGCAGCAACUAGGUCUCUCUGUGUUGAACAAUCUUGUCUUGAAUUUCUGGCUUUGAACUCCUGGCCUCAAGUGAUCUUUCUGCCUUGAACUCCCAAAGUGUUGGGAUGACAGAAUGUGAUCUCUGCACAUGUUGGCCCUUUGUCAUUUUCUGCCAUGAGGGGAAGCAGCCUGUGGCUUGCACCAGAAGCAGAUGCUGGUGUCUUGCUUCUUGUACAGCUUGCAGAACCAUACGCCAAAUAAACCUCUUUCCUUUAUAAAUUACUCAGCCUCAAUUAUUCCCAUGUAGCAACACUAAAUGGACUAAAUUGCAUGCAUUUCACAAUUUUGUGCUUUUUUUUUUUUAUUAUUUCACUGUUUAAAUA